AGCUCCCGCGAAAGAGUUGAAAGGCGGGCGUCACAAAAAAAUCGCAUUUCUGAUUGGCUACGAGUGCGAGGAUUGAGUAAAGUCGAAGCUGAUUCGUCAGAAACAUGUCGCUGUAAUAAAGCUCAGCAAAAUGGGCGGAGUCCUGAGAAUAUGAGAAGUAAUAACAGGCUGAAUUCCUCUAGAGACUCUAGAGAACUGGUUUAAACACAAAUUACGUGAGUGUGCAAGCGUUCACCUCUGACCCCAGACGUGCUGUCUCAAACUGUGGAGAGCCUUCGCUUCUACAGAACGUCUGCACAGAAGAGAUCCUUCAUCAUUUUCUCCUGGCUUUGUUUUUCCCAUUCUGUCCCUUACAACUUUUUCCUCCAUACUCCCCUUGAAAUCAAGCAGAUCCACAAAUACAGUAAAACUUUUUUUUUUUUAGAGAUAUAUUUCAUUUUAUAUUACUUUAGAUUCACUUGUCUUUGAGUCCGAGCUCUUAUCUAAAUUUAGUUGUGACAUGUCUGAAAGUCAGUGUGCUAGAUGAAGAUUAAUUACAGCCACAAGAGCAGGAAAAAAAUAAAGCGCAGAUCACAUGCUUCCUUCAGACCUGUGUCUAGUUUACAUGAACACACAGGUGCACAUGUCUCAGAGUGUGUGUGUGUGUGCGUGCGUGUAUGUGCUUGUGUGUAUGUGUAUGUGUAUGUGUGUGUGUGUGUGUGUGUGUUAAAGAGACUCCAUUUCUUACACAUAACUGCUUCAUUGCUUGUAGAAUUUCACUGAACAUACUGCAGCACUUGCAGGUAUUUACGGUCGUAUCAGAGGAUAAAUAUUUUGACGAGGAAAAUAGA